GUAGGCCUACGGGGCGCAGCAGUGGGGAAUAUUGGACAAUGGGGGGAACCCUGAUCCAGCGACGCCGCGUGAGUGAAGAAGUAUUUCGGUAUGUAAAGCUCUAUCAGCAGGGAAGAAAGAAAUGACGGUACCUGACUAAGAAGCCCCGGCUAACUACGUGCCAGCAGCCGCGGUAAUACGUAGGGGGCAAGCGUUAUCCGGAUUUACUGGGUGUAAAGGGAGCGUAGACGGCAUAGCAAGUCUGAAGUGAAAGCCUGUUGCUCAACCGCGGAACUGCUUUGGAAACUGUUAAGCUGGAGUACUGG
rnacentral:rRNA from 1 species